rnacentral:rRNA from 1 species
GAUGAACGCUGGCGGCGUGCCUAAUACAUGCAAGUCGAACGCAUUGAGAAAAGUGCUUGCACUUUUCAAUUUGAGUGGCGGACGGGUGAGUAACACGUGGGCAACCUACCUGAUAGCGGGGGAUAACGAGUGGAAACAUUCGCUAAUACCGCAUAACAAUAGAGAAGGCAUCUUCUUUAUUUAAAAGGCGCUUUCAAGCGUCACUAUCAGAUGGGCCCGCGGUGCAUUAGUUAGUUGGUGGGGUGAAGGCCUACCAAGACGAUGAUGCAUAGCCGAGUUGAGAGACUGAUCGGCCACAUUGGGACUGAGACACGGCCCAAACUCCUACGGGAGGCUGCAGUAGGGAAUCUUCCACAAUGGACGAAAGUCUGAUGGAGCAACGCCGCGUGUGUGAUGAAGGCUUUCGGGUCGUAAAGCACUGUUGUAUGGGAAGAAAUGCUAGGCUAGGAAAUGAGCUUAGUUUGACGGUACCAUACCAGAAAGGGACGGCUAAAUACGUGCCAGCCGCCGCUGUAA